GGGGAUUUGGCUCAGUGGUAGAGCACUUGCCUAGCAAGCGCAAGGCCCUGGGUUCGAUCCCCAGCUCCG
rfam:Rattus norvegicus chromosome X, whole genome shotgun sequence.